AAUUUGCAUGCUGACUACUUUUCCUACGCGCAUGCUCGUUUCGUUUUUACCCAUCCCUACACAGUCCCCACCACACGAAAAAAGAGAAGUCCUUUAGGUCUUUCAACGCUGUCUCCUACGGUAGGGGCCGAUCUAUGUCUUUUAUAUCUAUGAUUGAAGGAGUGCGAGUGAGACAGCUAUACGGACAUGCGCGGGUCGCGCUUGUCUAUCAGUGUCUCGUUCCCUCCGUCGUACAUUUCUGACGUCGGACACCAUUCCUGCCGGUCAGUGUACACACAUAACAGUCACUAGCACAUUGGCAGACUCGGACUCUUCGUGAUUCGAUGGCAAAUUCUCCAUGGGAUCGGUCUCUUCGCUGCAACCUUCGGUGCUGUCAGCCGCGCUGGCGCGCGGCACCAUCGCCGAAGAGUCCUCCUUCUUGUCCCUCGACUCGCCAUUACUGACUCCCAUGACAAUGGUGGAUUGCUGUUGCUGCUGCUGUAGUUUGUGCAUGUGACUGCGUAGCUUUGAAAUCUCAUGCGCGUCCAAUUGCCGAAGACGUCGCAGCUGAGCGUUCUCCGAGGCCACGCGACGCGCCAGCUCUAUCACAUCCUGCGGCACGUUGAGCGCUCUCAGUUGCUCCUCAAGAUCGGCUGCCGCGGUGCCGUCCGAGUCGGAGUCGCUCUCGGACGGCGAGGAGGUGGUACCGACCUCGGAGGAGGUCGCCAGGGGAAGAGGCUCCACUGUCACCGUGGACGACGUCACUGCCGCGCUACUCUCUUCCUCUUCUACACCUUCCUUUUCCCUCCUUUCUUUUUUUCCAGGUAGCGCCGGUUCCUUUCGACUCAUUUCAUCGGGCACGUAGUACACGGGAUAAGAAUCGACAGGUUCAGCGUCUUGGCUCAACGAUGUUUUCUCCAGCUUGACAUCGGCCGCCGACAGCAGUUCUUGUUUCUCGCUCAUGGGACUCGUCGAACGUAAACUGUGACGGUGGCGAUGAUGAUGCUCGUGAUGAUGAUGAUGCCGUCGUUGGUGAACGGACGAGAGAGGCGAUAUCCGACCUAUCUGAGGAGGUGUCGUCGUAAUAGGCGCUAACGCCACGUUAGGCUGAAAGUGCGGCUCGAAACGCUCGCACUCCGAAAGCGGGAUAACUCGUUCAGGAUGUUGCAGUACAGGUGGACCUCGACUGAGGUACGCAGGUAGCAACGACGAACUGCAAAGACAAUAACUGUUACUAUAAUAUGCUGAAGAUAAUUAAGAGCAUGAGUGAGAGAAAUAAAAGCUCGUUAUAUAGUUUCUAUA